rnacentral:lncRNA from 1 species
UAAAUUGGUUGUUUCUCAAUGUCUUAUGUAAACAAAAUAAUCUUGUAUUUUAAAAUAUUAUAAGCAUUGUAACAUCUUAGGUACCAGUCUUAAUUCCUUAUCAAUUAUCUAAGUCAACGAAAAAUAAAAAAAUAUAAAUGCAUUGACAUAAAAGUUAUCACCAAAACAUAGAAGAUCAGUAAUUUAUUGACAUUUUUAAGUCAACAAUAGUUUACCAUGUUAACCGAUGUCACCACCUUGUAAACAUGUAUACAGCUUCUUGGCUUGAUUAAAUUAACAAUGGUUGCAUGUUUGAAUCUAAAGAUGUCCUAAGUCAAAAAUAUGCAACAGCAAAAAAAGAAAGAAAAGAAAAGGAUAGGAAAUAAAAGGAAAUGGGCAAAGAUGGGGAAAAAAAUUCUUCGUUUGGAAAUAAAUACAACGGCAAAGUUUUCAUACGCACAUGGAAACCUUUUAAAUUAUUUAGACAUAAACAAAAAGUGGAAAGUUUCACAAUGACAGCACAUAUCUGUCCAUAUUUUCCUGCGGGAAAUUUCCCAAAAUGGGAUAUAAAAUAGAAUGUUGUGAAGCGGUUUACCACCAAAAACCAUUUAAUCACAAGACAAAAAUGGAAGACUUCACACAGUGUGAAUUAACUUUGUUAAGUGUUUUCAAUUCCUGUGUUUACUGUAGAACAGUUUGCAUUAACAAUAUUUUAUAACAAAGAUAUGUAUGGACAUAAAGACACACACACAGACAGGACAGAACAACAUACGAUUAGACAGAUUAAUAAAGGUACAAGACAAAGAGAUAUAUACGAACGAUCAAAUGGAUGCGCCAAGGCAAGCCUAAUAGAGAUUUACAGACGGACAAAUAGACAAACACAUACAUUACAAAGAGAUAUAUGGUUGUACAUUGUCGCACAUAGACAUGACGAAAAAUUGGGAGGAGACAUAAGCACACAGAAAACGGAAC